rnacentral:rRNA from 1 species
CUUGACUGCGAGCGUGACGGCGCGAGCAGGUGCGAAAGCAGGUCAUAGUGAUCCGGUGGUUCUGAAUGGAAGGGCCAUCGCUCAACGGAUAAAAGGUACUCCGGGGAUAACAGGCUGAUACCGCCCAAGAGUUCAUAUCGACGGCGGUGUUUGGCACCUCGAUGUCGGCUCAUCACAUCCUGGGGCUGAAGUAGGUCCCAAGGGUAUGGCUGUUCGCCAUUUAAAGUGGUACGCGAGCUGGGUUUAGAACGUCGUGAGACAGUUCGGUCCCUAUCUGCCGUGGGCGCUGGAGAACUGAGGGGGGCUGCUCCUAGUACGAGAGGACCGGAGUGGACGCAUCACUGGUGUUCGGGUUGUCAUGCCAAUGGCACUGC